rnacentral:tRNA from 1 species
GGCUAUAGCUCAGUGGUAGAGCACUUGCCUUGCGUGUGUGAGGUACUGAGUUCGAUCCUCAGCACCA